rnacentral:tRNA from 1 species
GCGGGGAUAGCUAAGCACGGCCAACGGCGGCGGAACCGGUUGCCGAGACUCAAGAUCCGCUCCCUUAGGGGUUCGUGGGUUCAAAUCCCACUCCCCGCA